rnacentral:rRNA from 1 species
UGUAUAAUGGGUCAGCGACUUAUAUUCUGUAGCAAGGUUAACCGAAUAGGGGAGCCGAAGGGAAACCGAGUCUUAACUGGGCGUUAAGUUGCAGGGUAUAGACCCGAAACCCGGUGAUCUAGCCAUGGGCAGGUUGAAGGUUGGGUAACACUAACUGGAGGACCGAACCGACUAAUGUUGAAAAAUUAGCGGAUGACUUGUGGCUGGGGGUGAAAGGCCAAUCAAACCGGGAGAUAGCUGGUUCUCCCCGAAAGCUAUUUAGGUAGCGCCUCGUGAAUUCAUCUCCGGGGGUAGAGCACUGUUUCGGCAAGGGGGUCAUCCCGACUUACCAACCCGAUGCAAACUGCGAAUACCGGAGAAUGUUAUCACGGGAGACACACGGCGGGUGCUAACGUCCGUCGUGAAGAGGGAAACAACCCAGACCGCCAGCUAAGGUCCCAAAGUCAUGGUUAAGUGGGAAACGAUGUGGGAAGGCCCAGACAGCCAGGAUGUUGGCUUAGAAGCAGCCAUCAUUUAAAGAAAGCGUAAUAGCUCACUGGUCGAGUCGGCCUGCGCGGAAGAUGUAACGGGGCUAAACCAUGCACCGAAGCUGCGGCAGCGACACUAUGUGUUGUUGGGUAGGGGAGCGUUCUGUAAGCCUGCGAAGGUGUACUGUGAGGUAUGCUGGAGGUAUCAGAAGUGCGAAUGCUGACAUAAGUAACGAUAAAGCGGGUGAAAAGCCCGCUCGCCGGAAGACCAAGGGUUCCUGUCCAACGUUAAUCGGGGCAGGGUGAGUCGACCCCUAAGGCGAGGCCGAAAGGCGUAGUCGAUGGGAAACAGGUUAAUAUUCCUGUACUUGGUGUUACUGCGAAGGGGGGACGGAGAAGGCUAUGUUGGCCGGGCGACGGUUGUCCCGGUUUAAGCGUGUAGGCUGGUUUUCCAGGCAAAUCCGGAAAAUCAAGGCUGAGGCGUGAUGACGAGGCACUACGGUGCUGAAGCAACAAAUGCCCUGCUUCCAGGAAAAGCCUCUAAGCAUCAGGUAACAUCAAAUCGUACCCCAAACCGACACAGGUGGUCAGGUAGAGAAUACCAAGGCGCUUGAGAGAACUCGGGUGAAGGAACUAGGCAAAAUGGUGCCGUAACUUCGGGAGAAGGCACGCUGAUACGUAGGUGAAGUCCCUUGCGGAUGGAGCUGAAAUCAGUCGAAGAUACCAGCUGGCUGCAACUGUUUAUUAAAAACACAGCACUGUGCAAACACGAAAGUGGACGUAUACGGUGUGACGCCUGCCCGGUGCCGGAAGGUUAAUUGAUGGGGUUAGCG